AGCUCGUCGAAUCUGGGGUUUCACGGGUUGGAGAUGGGCGGGGGAGGGCUGGGGGGAUGAGCUUCACCUUGAUGCUCGGGGGCAGCAUGAGCAGAUGCCCGGGUUGCAGCUGGGGCUCUCGCAGGAUGGGCACAUCGGGGUUUUGAACCCGCAGGCACUGAAUCAGUUCUAUCAGCAGAUUGUUAGCUCAGGUGUAGAUGGAAGGAUAGAGAUAUUUGGAUGGGGCACUAUAUAGCGUUUUAUUCCUUUGAGGUAUUUUGGACUGUCCUCGAUGGGAGUAACAUUUAAGUUUAAGUGCAUCCUCAUUUGGGAGCAGUGAUCGGUAUUGAGGCUUUGGUAGUUUAAGGGAUGGUGAAUCGUUCAAGGAUAUCUACAAAGAUGAUCACAAGUCAAAUGAUGACCGUUCCACCGAAAAUGAAAGUGGAUUGAAGAAGGGAUCAUCAGGUCGUACAAGGGUUGUCAGACACCUUCUUCUCUGCUUUGUUUAUUUUUCUGUACAUGCUUUCACAAACACGCUAUUCGGAUUGUUUAAUGCUUCCCUGUAAAACUAGAAAAGAUUAAGCAGACACAUAUUUCAUAUGUAUAUGUAAAUAUAUAUAUACAAAGGUAUUUAUUUC